GACGAACGCUGGCGGCGUGCUUAACACAUGCAAGUCGAACGGAAAGGCCCUGCUUUUGUGGGGUGCUCGAGUGGCGAACGGGUGAGUAACACGUGAGUAACCUGCCCUUGACUUUGGGAUAACUUCAGGAAACUGGGGCUAAUACCGGAUAGGAGCUCCUGCUGCAUGGUGGGGGUUGGAAAGUUUCGGCGGUUGGGGAUGGACUCGCGGCUUAUCAGCUUGUUGGUGGGGUAGUGGCUUACCAAGGCUUUGACGGGUAGCCGGCCUGAGAGGGUGACCGGCCACAUUGGGACUGAGGUACGGCCCAGACGCAUACGGGAGGCAGCAGUGGGGAAUAUUGCACAAUGGGCGGAAGCCUGAUGCAGCAACGCCGCGUGCGGGAUGACGGCCUUCGGGUUGUAAACCGCUUGCGCCUGUGACGAAGCGUGAGUGACGGUAAUGGGUAAAGAAGCACCGGCUAACUACGUG
rnacentral:rRNA from 1 species